rnacentral:siRNA from 1 species
UGGUUUUUGAUAAUAGCUCCCUU